rnacentral:rRNA from 1 species
GUAGGAGGCAAGCGUUAUCCGGAUUCACUGGGCGUAAAGCGCGUGCAGGUGGCGUGGUAAGUUGGAUGUGAAAUCUCCCGGCUCAACUGGGAGAGGUCAUUCAAUACUACCGUGCUUGAGAGCAGAAGAGGAAGAUGGAAUUCCCGGUGUAGUGGUGAAAUGCGUAGAUAUCGGGAGGAACACCAGUGGCGAAGGCGAUCUUCUGGUCUGUUUCUGACACUCAGACGCGACAGCUAGGGUAGUAAACGGGAUUAGAGACCCCGGUAAUCCUAGCCGUAAACGAUGUGAACUUGGCGUUGGUGGGUUAAACUCCAUCAGUGCCGUAGCAAACGCGAUAAGUUCACCGCCUGGGGACUACGGCCGCAAGGUUAAA